rnacentral:rRNA from 1 species
AUGCCACCGGCUGGGCUUUUGGCUCGGCGAGUCGUGCGUGGGAGAACUGAACCGCUGGUGAGGCCUGUGCGUCCUCUCAGGGCGUGGACGCGAUGGCUACACGGCGGCAGGGAGCCACAGGAAGAAGAGUUCCCGUACGCCGACGUGCCCCGGCCCGGGAGGAAGUGGGAGAGGAAGCCGUACGUGACGCCGAUGAAGGUCCUCAUCCGGAGGGCCAAGGAGGAGAGACGGGCCCGGCAGGAGGCCCCGUGCCGCGUGCUGGAGCACCCGCCCGCCAACGGCCUUCUCGUGCCGCACCUUGUCGAGGUUGCGCAUCGGGUACACAGAGCAAGGGAGAGGCUCCUCAGCGGCCUCGCCAGCCUUGUCAAAGGUGAAGCUGCCAUCCCGGUGAAGCGAUGCAGGUUCUGCUCGGAGGUGCACAUCGGUAACAUCGGGCACGAGAUCAGGACGUGUGAAGGCCCCAAUAGCGCAUCGAGGAACUCCUUGCACGUGUGGCGGCCAGGGACGGUACGGGACGUCCUCGGCUUCCCAUACUGCUACCACCUGUUUGAUCGCGUUGGGAAGCCCAGGGUGGUGCACAAGGAGAAGUACACCGUCCCGAGGCUACCGGCCAUCCUGGAGCUAUGCAUCCAGGCCGGUGUCGACGUCGAGCGUUACCCAACCAAGAGGAGGACGAGGCCAGUCUACUCAAUCGACGGCAGGAUUGCAGACUUUGAGCUGGACGAUGAAGACGGCUCCUCCGAAGCAGAAACAUCACCUGAAGCUUGGUCGUGUCAAUCGCCGCUGCCUCAAACGAGUUCUGCUUGUACUGCCCAUGCCGGUGAUCGAACAGAAGAGAUCACUGUGAGGGAGAUGAGCUCCAGGACGCUGCAGUCCUGGCUGGAGAUGCGGUCGGGCGGAGUGAGGCUGAUGAGGAAGUACGGUGUGGUCACCUGCGGGUACUGCCCGGAUGUGCAGGUCGGGCCCAAGGGCCACAAGGUGAGGAUGUGCAAGGCGAGCAAGCACCAGCAGCGGGAUGGCCAGCACGCGUGGCAGGAAGCCACAGUAGAUGACAUCGUCCCCCUGAACCAUGUCUGGCAUGUCCGCGACCCAGCUGGCGACAGUGUACCUCUCGCGAACGAGCUCAAGAGGUACUAUGGCAAGGCCCCGGCCGUGGUGGAGCUCUGCGUGCGUGCGGGCGCGCCAGUACCGGCGCAGUACAGGAGCAUGAUGCGGCUGGACGUUGUGCCGCCCGCACGCGACGAGUACGACCUUGUUGCCUGA